ACCACUUUUCUAGAGUUCUCUACCUUCUUUCUAAGAGUUCUAACUCCUGAGUCAUCUCUUUGAUGAUCAAGAGGUGUCUAAACGAUCACGACGUCAAGGUCUACAAAUCCAACCGAUCAAUUUUUGUUUUAGAGCAAUGCCUCAUAGGUCCGUUUAGGAAUUUCUUACGUUUCAAGCGACCGGCGGGACGCUUAUGUGGGUUGAGAUGUUAUUUUGAGGGAUUCACCUUUUCAAUUGUUCCAGCUAGAGGUAAGAGAGAAGCAGAUGAGUUGUUGGAUAGAUCUACAGAAGUAGAUCUCUUCUUUGAGGGAGAUUUGUUUUACCUAGUUGUUCUUUUAACAUCUAUGUAAUGUUUCAUUUUGGUAGUUUUAUACUCUUAAAAUGGGAUGUUACAGUUCCCAUCAUGAGCUUACUUAAUC